AAAGUCGUAACAAGGUUUCCGUAGGUGAACCUGCGGAAGGAUCAUUAACACGAAUUUUAUCCAAAUAUCAAAACUAAAACGCGAACUUUUCCCCUCCCUAUCUCAAGUAUACUCAUAUACCUGAGUUAGGCUAACCUUUUAUAUCAAAAUUUUUAAACACCAUUUAAUUUUAUCAGUCACCGGUUCAAUACCCGUUUGACUAACUAACUAAAAAUUUUACUUAAGAUGUCAACUUUUGUUGUGUGUCUUAGUUAAUAUUUUUUCUUUACGAAAUUAAUAUUAGUAUAUAAGAACAACUCUUAGCAAUGGAUAUCUUGGUUCUC
rnacentral:misc_RNA from 1 species